AUUGAACGCUGGCGGCAUGCCUUACACAUGCAAGUCGAACGGCAGCACGGUUGCUUGCUCCUGGUGGCGAGUGUCGAACGGGGGAGUAAUACAUCUGCACAGGUCCUGACUUUGGGGAGAGCCCGGCGAAAGCCGGAUUAAUACCGCUUACGCACUACGCAUGAGAGCGGGGGACCUUCGGCCUUCGCCCUAUCGGGUUUGCCGAUGCCGGAUUAGCUAGUUGGUGGGGUAAAGGCCUACCAAGGCGACGAUCAGUAGCUGGUCUGAGAGGACGACCAGCCACACUGGGACUGAGACACGGCCCAGACUCCUACGGGAGGCAGCAGUGGGGAAUUUUGGACAAUGGGCGAAAGCCUGAUCCAGCAAUGCCGCGUGUGUGAAGAAGGCCUUCGGGUUGUAAAGCACUUUUGUCCGGAAAGAAAUGCUUGGCCCUAAUACGGUCGGGGGAUGACGGUACCGGAAGAAUAAGCACCGGCUAACUACGUG
rnacentral:rRNA from 1 species